rnacentral:tRNA from 1 species
GGUAGAAUCGCCAAGUGGAAAGAGCACAGGACUGGGAGUCCAGAGACCAGGGUUCAAAUCACAGCUCUGCCA